AACGAACGUCCGCGGCACGCCUAACACAUGCAAGUCGAGCGAGAAAGGGCUUCGGCCCCGGUACAGCGGCGCACGGGUGAGUAAACCGUAGGCAAUCUGGCCCUGAGUGGGGGAUAACCUUCCGAAAGGAGGGUCAAUACCGCAUGAGGACACGAACACGCGAGGGGACGAGGGCAAAGCUGGCGCCUUCAUGAAAGCUGGCGCUGGCGGCUGGGCUGGCGGCCCAUCAGCUAGUUGGUAGGGUAAUGGCCUACCAAGGCACAGACGGGUAGCUGGUCUGAGAGGAUGAUCAGCCACACUGGAACUGAGACACGGUCCAGACUCCUACGGGAGGCAGCAGUGGGGAAUCUUGCGCAAUGGGCGAAAGCCUGACGCAGCGACGCCGCGUGAGUGAUGAAGGCCUUCGGGUUGUAAGGCUCUGUGGAGGGAGACGAAUAAGGCAUGGCUAACAUCCAUGUUGAUGACGGUAUCCCUUUAGCAAGCACCGGCUAACUCUGUGCCAGCAGCCGCAGUAACAC
rnacentral:rRNA from 1 species